rnacentral:misc_RNA from 1 species
GAACGCACAUUGCGCCCCUGGGCAUUCCAUGGGGCAUGCCUGUUCGAGCGUCAUUUGUACCUUCAAGCUCUGCUUGGUGUUGGGUGUUUGUCUCGCCUUUGCGUGUAGACUCGCCUUAAAACAAUUGGCAGCCGGCGUAUUGAUUUCGGAGCGCAGUACAUCUCGCGCUUUGCACUCAUAACGACGACGUCCAAAAAGUACUUUUUACACUCUUGACCUCGGAUCAGGUAGGGAUACCCGCUGAACUUAAG